rnacentral:lncRNA from 1 species
GGGAUCGUCACACCUAGAUUUUCUUUUCCAUCGCUGGUUCACUCCAAUGCAAUUAUUCUUGGAGAAGUUUUCUGAGCAUCUUUCCAGCUUUUUAUACCUUGUCUACCAUCUUGGGAUGGAAUCCCAGAGAAAGCAUGAGUAUGUAAAGAUAUCUUGGGUUCUUCUUUUUGAAGAAAUAAGUCUUUCAAGUGACCCAGCCUGUGCAACUCCAUGAAGAAACUCCGAAG